rnacentral:lncRNA from 1 species
UAACUUCCACCAGUAGUUCCGUUGCUAAAAUCUCAUCACCACAGUCUACAUUGGUUUAUUAAGUAAUUGUGUAUUAUACACUCAGUUCUUAGUCUCAUGCGUGAUUUUUUCGGUGUACUCUUCAUAGCAGCUUUUAAUUUACUAGAUUCUUUUGCAAAUUGGUUCCCUUUCCGAAGAAUCGUAAUCCUUAAAUUACAGAUAUUGAGAAAAAUUCAUCGAGGGGAUAAAAUUAUAUUUGGUGAAAAUCUUGAUUGUACAAGGUAUUAUUUCUGAAAUUUAUUUAAAUUAAUUCGUUCUGGUUGACAUUUUGAACAUCAUUAUUAGAACUAAGGCAGAACGUUGCCUGUUUAUUCCACAAAUGAACAUUAUUUUUGCGUCCAGUUCGAGCUCAGACAAGUGUUUAUUCCACGCAGCCCUCCCCAAAUCAUUGCUAGCAUGUUUAAGAUGUUAUGAAAAUUAAAAUGUUUAAUUGUCGGUUUAAUCCUAGGUAUUUUGUUGAUCUUUCGUGCUCAUGGAAAACAUGACAAUGUAGAACUGAAUUUCACGUUUUCUCUCCACGUCUUUAGUUUGAUGCUGGAUACUAAGUUAAAAGUAUCAGCUUGCUAGCCAUCUAUUAAAGAUUCUCAUUUAUGGGAGGCUUUCUUUCUCGAUCCAUUUGACCCCUGAAAUGCUAGCCUCAUGAGGUCAAUGGAGCAAGGAAAGGAAACCUCAGGACGAAAACUGAUUCAUAUUCCUAUUUUUCUUUGGACAUUCAUGUAUUUUUUACAUUGAUUUGUUCUAACCUUUUCAGAUUUAUGUCCUAUUUUUCUUCGCUAACCAUGGGGGGAAUUCUACGCAUUAAGAUAACCCGG